GUAACAGCCCCUUACUCCUUUCUGUUUGAAAGAAACCUUGUGGGUAGAGACAUCAGAUGUCCCUCCUCCAUCCAUGGCCAACUGCAGCCAAGAUUGCAUCAUGAUUGAGAAUGAGAAUGAUGGCAGCAGCACCACUUCUGUGCCGUGCAAAGAUCCUUCUUCCUUGGGAGAUGAUUUACAGGUUAUGGAUGCUCUUUCCAACAAAAAGAGAAAGAAAACUCUUUCUGAUGCUCAGUUGGAGGUAAUGGUAAAUUUAUUUCAUACGAGCGAGAGAUAGGUAGUAAGCUAAGAGGAGUCAAUUUGCUAACAUUUAUUUUAACAUUUCUUCAGUACUUUGAG